rnacentral:rRNA from 1 species
GUAGGUGGCAAGCGUUGUCCGGAAUUAUUGGGCGUAAAACGCGCGCAGGCGGUUCUUUAAGUCUGAUGUGAAAGCCCACGGGCUCAACCGUGGAGGGUCAUUGGAAACUGGAGAACUUGAGUACAGAAGAGGAAAGCGGAAUUCCACGUGUAGCGGUGAAAUGCGUAGAGAUGUGGAGGAACACCAGUGGCGAAGGCGGCUUUCUGGUCUGUAACUGACGCUGAGGCGCGAAAGCGUGGGGAGCAAGCAGGAUUAGAUACCCUGGUAGUCCACGCCGUAAACGAUGAGUGCUAAGUGUUAGGGGGUUUCCGCCCCUUAGUGCUGCAGCUAACGCAUUAAGCACUCCGCCUGGGGAGUACGGCCGCAAAGGCUG